CGUUCUCACUUAUUUAGAUAGGAGCUCCAGUGGUAAUGCCUCCUCCGAGGCUCACCUCAUUUGCAUUUUUUUUCCUCUUCUUUCUUGCAAUACACAAAAAACUACCUUGACGAUACUUGACGAUUGAUGUCGAUACUUACCCGUUCACUCUUAUUCGCGCCAAUUUCCUAUUCUCUACAGCAUGAGAUAGGCUUUAGCGCAUUGAUGUUGUUUCAACAUGUUACUGGCUGUCAUUACAUGCGUCAUCACCAUUGCAUUAUCGCAUUCUGAAAAGGUACUUUUCCUUCAUGCGUAUAUUUCUGUUUCCAGAAAUUUCUACUUAAACCGGAGGGUGUCUUCGCCAGUCACCUUUUUUUUUUAUUCCACUGUUCUUCAGACACGACAAAGCUGAGCAGUAUGAGACGACGCAGGGAAAGACUCAACGGGAAGUGGCACGCCGGAAUGAGGAGCUCGGUAGAAUCGGAGGCGCUGAGCUCGUCGUGGUGCUGUUGCUCCUGCUCCUGGUCUACCUCUGGUUUUUCAACUCACGCGACUCCACCUUCGGCUGGCUGAGGCUUCUUCCCUCGGACGCAAUGCCCGGUGCUGUCACAACCGUCCUCAUGGUGGCAAUACCUCUGUUCGCUAUCCCGAACUGUCAACGGCGUUCAGCCGGCUACCAUCCGUCGAAGCCGUACGAACCCAUCUUGUCGUGGCAGGAUAUGGCUUCCACAUGCCACUGGAGCCUCGUUUUUCUUAUCUCUGGCAGCCUGGCGUUUACCAAGGCGUCGCAGGUAAGUCCCAAGACUUGCCUAUAGCUCCAGCUCCAACUACCAUUUCGCGCCGCUCGGUGGGUUCUCUGUAUAGAGAAAAAGAACACGCUAACGUGGUAAAUAUCGCCAAAGAAAAAAAAAAGAUUGCAGUUUCUCCCGGAAGGCGAAGCACUGAUUGCGAUAGCAUAUUAGUAAACAGCUAUACAAAGUAUAGCUGUCUAUACUGUAUAGCUGGAUAGUGGCGUUGUCGGUCGUAUAAAUAAGUAAACAUUCACUUACAAUUAACAAGCAUGGUGCCACGCGCGCGCAGGACAACAUAAACAAAUCAUCAUCAUCAUCAUCAUCAUCAUCAUCAUCAUCAUCAUUUAUUCCCUUAAAGGCCCCUGCUUGGGGUAUUACGUAAGGGAUUUACAGAAUGCACUAAACUUGGUUAGCAAUACAAAGUGGGGAGAAACGUGAGAAGUCAUUGAAUCAAUAAAAAGAAGUUAAAAAAAAAACCGGAUACAUAUGGUCAAACAGGGAUCAUUAAGACAUACUAGAAAAAGAAUAUUACACAGCAUACAGACGGUGGAGCGAAAGAC